GCCGGGAGCCUGGCUCCGGGAAAACGUGGUCUCAGCUGUCGGGUCCUCGAGCAGGCCUCGACCCUGCUCCCCGACCGGAGAGGCCCGGCGCCUCGCCCUCACCCUCACCCGGUCUUUGUGCGGGGCGCCGGCGGCCAUUGUGUCCGUGCGGGAAAUGGAGGAGCCGGCAAUCCCCUACCGCCACCGCCGCGUCCAGGGCCUUUGGGGAAUUCAGAGAACACCAGCGGCGUUUCUGGGGGGUCCCCGGCCUGCAGCCUCCCGGAAAGGCCCGGGGAUGGCAUUUCCGAAGUCAGACCUCAGAUGCGAGGCAGUUUCCCCUGCCCUCUGUCCCUCAUCGAAACCUUGAGCCCCAUUGAGAAGUCCUUUCGGGGUUUCGGAAGCCUCACCCGGGGCCGGUCCUUAAAUAGAAACGACAACAACAAAAAGCCCUACGGCCUGCCCCGGCCGCCUUCGGGAGAGUUCUCCUGGCUCCCAGUAGGAGGCAGAGAGCGGAGGAGCGUGCUCGAGCGAGGGGGCUGGACUGCCGGUGGCAGGAGGCCGCCCUCAUUCUGGGCGAUGGAGGAGGAAGCGAGCGAGGCGGCCGGUUCCUGAGCUUCGUAAUUGCCGUGUCGCCCUCGGGACACCCAGCCGGCAGGGCCGCAUGGUCCCUGCAGCCGCAGCUGGGGUUUUUGCCAGCCGCCCGUGAGGCCGGUCGAGUUACCGGCAGCCACCUCCUCUCCGGACCCCAUGGUACAAAAGAUCGCCCGGGGACUGCACCUGCCUGCCUUGGCCAGAGACGUAUUUGAAUCUCUUUCUCUCCCUUCAGAACCUUAUCUUGGCUUUGGAUCUCAGAAGGCAACCACUAACUAGAGACCAGACUCCAGUGAGUGAGCAGGUGUUUUGGACAAUGGACUGGUCGAGCCCAUCCCUAUUAUAAAAAAUGUCUCAGAGCAACCGGGAACUGGUGGUUGACUUUCUCUCCUACAAGCUUUCCCAGAAAGGAUACAGCUGGAGUCAGUUUAGUGAUGUGGAAGAGAACAGAACUGAGGCCCCAGAAGGGACUGAAUCAGAGGUGGAGACCCCCAGUGCCAUCAAUGGCAACCCAUCCUGGCACCUGGUGGACAGCCCUGCGGUGAAUGGAGCCACUGGCCACAGCAGUAGCUUGGAUGCCCGGGAGGUGAUUCCCAUGGCAGCGGUGAAGCAAGCGCUGAGGGAGGCAGGCGACGAGUUUGAACUGAGGUACCGGCGGGCGUUCAGCGACCUGACAUCCCAGCUCCACAUCACCCCAGGGACAGCAUAUCAGAGCUUUGAGCAAGUAGUGAAUGAACUCUUCCGGGAUGGGGUGAACUGGGGUCGCAUUGUGGCCUUUUUCUCGUUCGGUGGGGCAUUGUGCGUGGAAAGUGUGGACAAGGAGAUGCAGGUAUUGGUGAGUCGGAUUGCAACGUGGAUGGCCACUUACCUGAAUGACCACCUAGAGCCUUGGAUCCAGGAGAACGGAGGCUGGGACACAGAUUUGGAAGGACUCAGUUAGCAGGAGGCAGAGUCUGUGAAACCAAUUCUAUCUCACUCCAAAGCCUAUGUUAUCUCUAAUUCUUCUUAAAAAACCGACAAGGAAGCAAACUCAUUUGAAGCAGUAGGAGUAGACCCAAAACCCUUGAUGAAUGGUUCCAGGCAAACUGUGCCAAAUCUGUGGUGUAGACUCCAAAGCAGAAGAGGACAGACCCACUGGCUGCGUCCUACAGGUGCCCUGGACCCCUGCCAAACCAACCCGUUUCCACCAUCAGCUACUCAGCUGAUGACUCGGCUCAGAGGCCUCUACCCUCAGCCUGCAUCAUCAGUGUGUACCCUCUCCCUCGCCAACUGCAUCACCAACCCAGACCCUCUUCUGUGCCAGUUGUGGAAUGUCAGAAAGGGGAAAGGUCGCUAGGGACUUGAAUAAUAGUUUUCUCAGCAGUGUGGCUUUGUGUAAUUCACACUGAGUCCUCAGUGUCCUCAUCUAUAAAAUGAAGAUAAUAGCAAUAAUCUCUUUCUCAUAGGCUGCUGUGUUCCUUCUGCCUACAGUACUCUUCCCCUAGCUCUAAUUAAGGCUGUGUUCUUAUCAUUUAGGUCUCAACUCAAAUAUCACCUCUUCAGAGGCUGCCCAUGUUUACAUGUUUACUGUCUAUCUCCUCCAGUAAAACCUAAACUCCCAGAGUGUAGGGGCUUUGUCUCAUUUUUACCCUCAUCCCCAGCAUCUAGCAGAGUGCUUGACACAUAGGAGACACUCAACAAAUAUUUGUUGAAUGAGUGAGUGACUCUGUAGCCCACCCAGCACAGUGCCUGACAUGUAGUAUAGUAAGCUCAGUCAAUGUAAGGCAUCAUUAUUAUCUGUUAAGAAGAUGUGGGCUAUGAAGACUUCCAGUAGGUGAAAAGAAUGUGGCAAGGGUGGGCUCAGUAGGUAAGAACCACCCAGACAGAUCUGGAAGGUGGAUUGUGUAUGAAGCAUUUGGGAGACAGUGAGGAGACAGACUGGCUGAAAAGGGUGUGGAUUGUCAGUACACCUGGUCAUGAAAAAGGGAGCGGUGACUGAUGGAGGCCUCUGGGAAGAGGGAUGGGGAUGGUUGAUGGUAGAGGGGGAUCCAGUGGGGAGAGGCUCAUCACCAGAGGGAUGCAACUAGGUCUCCAGUAACCCCUGGGAAAGAGAAUCCCUUGCCAGCCGGGGCUCAGCAGACAGAGGCACCUGCGACCUGCAGAUCAGGUAGGCUGCCCUGGUGGUUAUUUUGGGGCUCUGGGCCAGGUGCAGAUUCAAAAGCUUGAUUGAAGCCUUUUGGCAAUUCUGGUCUCAGCCGGGUAAACAUCACCUGUCUCUUGCCACCUGUGGCAACAAUGCCAGGAAGGUACCCCGGGCGGCCCAAAGGGGGGCAGCUUUCUUGUUGUCCUAAUAGAGCAAGAAAUAGCCCCCAAGAGAGGCCACUCCUUCCCUGCCCCAUGGCUUCCUUCUGAAGAGUUCAGGUGGCAAUAAGAUGCCUCCUGCCCAACAGUAACCUCCCCCCUUCUGGGGUUUUGGCCUGUGGAAGUCUGGGGCGGGGCAUUGGGAGCCGUUGACAGCUGGGCCCAGCUGGGGGGAGGGGUCCACUUGGGAGCAGGUGCAGAUUUCGGGGAGGGUGGGGCCUGAAGGGAAGUAGGGAUCUUGGUAGGCUGAAAAAUUUCCCUCCCCAACCCCCAGCCACAGCUGGCUUCUCCAGGAACCUGAUGACCUAGUUACAAUGCUUAGAAGUUGUUAGCUUAGCUUGCAGUUCAGAGUUGUGCCAGUCUCUCCUUUCUGAGGCUACUUGGGUCCAAAAGGUGCCCUGACAUUCCCCCAAAGGAGUUCCAUGUGAAGGACAUGCACCAUAUCACAUGUAUAGGCUUCUUGCCCAAGAGAGUAAAGAACCAAUCAGGCUUCUUCUCUAGUAUGCUCCCCCACCCCAUCCCAGGGAGGAAAGACUAUUCUGCAACAGCUCCCCUUCUAUCUCUCCCUCAGAGCUUGGUAGAUGGCAACUAGAGGUCACAAACUUCUUCCCUGGAGGUUCAGCAGAAUGGGAGACACUCCUAUUGCCCUAGGGAUAGCUUGAGCAUACCUAACAAUUUCCACCUUACCUUCUCAUCUCAGUGGAGUGAGGAAGAAUCUUUUGGGGGCUCUGGAGGCACCAGCCCUCCAAGCAGCAGCUGCUCCUGGUAUUCCUGAUGCCUACCUCUCCAUUGUCUCCCUGUGAGAAAUCCAUCACUGUUAAGAGUCAGGUACAAAAUUUGACAACCAAUGCUGAAUCCUGCUUUCUCUAUGGUUAUCCUUGGGCAAAUUACUUAAUCUCCCCCAGCCUUAGUUUCCUCAUCUGUCAAAAAGGGGGAUAAUAAUACAUAAUGCUUUUUUUGAAAGAUUUUUAUAAGCAUGAGAAUAACUUGUAAGAUACAUGGAGCAUUUAACAUGUAGGUUGGCAUAUAGUAAUUACUACUCAGUAUGGUCCUACUAUUGUUUUUUUAUCAUAUUGCCUUCACAGGUGAUCAAGUUGCUGUCUUUGCUAUUAGAGCUACUCUCUAAGAGCAAACUGGCUGGGUAGCUCAGCUGAUUAGUGCAUCAACCAGAUGCCAAAAGGUUGUGUGUUAAAUCCCCAGUCAGGGCACAUGCAAAAAUCAACCAAUGAGUGCAUAAAUAUGUGGAACAAUAAACCAAUUUCUUUCUC